rnacentral:rRNA from 1 species
AAAAUGACUCUCAGUAAUGGAUAUCUCGGCUCUCGCAUCGAUGAAGAACGUAGCAAAAUGCGAUACUUGGUGUGAAUUGCAGUAUCUCGUGAACCAUCGGGUCUUUGAACGCAAGUUACGCCUGAAGCCAUUAGGCUGAGGGCACGUCUGCCUGGGUGUCAUGC